UACACACCGCCCGUCACACCAUGGGAGGUUUGGCUUUACCUGAAGGCGGUGCGCUAACCCGCAAGGGAGGCAGCCGACCACGGUAGGGUCAGCGACUGGGGUG
rnacentral:rRNA from 1 species